rnacentral:tRNA from 1 species
GGCACGGUAGCCAAGUGGUAAGGCGGAUGGUGUGCAAGCCAUCUAAUCGCAGGUUCGAUUCCUGCCCGUGCCU